rnacentral:rRNA from 1 species
CGGGUGAGUAACGCGUAGAUAAUCUGCCUUAGACUCUGGGAUAACAUCUCGAAAGGGGUGCUAAUACCGGAUAAGCCCACGAAGACGUGAGUCUUUGCGGGAAAAGGGGGCCUCUGCAUAUGCUCUUGAUCUAAGAUGAGUCUGCGUACCAUUAGCUUGUUGGUAGGGUAAUGGCCUACCAAGGCGACGAUGGUUAGCUGGUCUGAGAGGAUGAUCAGCCACACUGGGACUGAGACACGGCCCAGACUCCUACGGGAGGCAGCAGUGGGGAAUUUUGCGCAAUGGGGGAAACCCUGACGCAGCAACGCCGCGUGAGUGAUGAAGGCUUUCGGGUCGUAAAGCUCUGUCUAGAGGGAAGAAGUGAUAUUUGGUUAAUACCCAGAUUUCUUGACGGUACCUCUGAAGGAAGCACCGGCUAACUCCGUGCCAGCAGCCGCGGUAAUACGGAGGGUGCAAGCGUUGUUCGGAAUUAUUGGGCGUAAAGCGCGUGUAGGCGGUUUGUUAAGUCUGAUGUGAAAGCCCUGGGCUCAACCUGGGAAGUGCAUUGGAAACUGGCAGACUUGAAUACGGGAGAGGGUAGUGGAAUUCCGAGUGUAGGAGUGAAAUCCGUAGAUAUUCGGAGGAACACCGGUGGCGAAGGCGGCUACCUGGACCGAUAUUGACGCUGAGACGCGAAAGCGUGGGUAGCAAACAGGAUUAGAUACCCUGGUAGUCCACGCCGUAAACGAUGAGUACUAGGUGUUGCG